GUUAGCGGCGGACGGGUGAGUAACACGUGGAUAACCUACCUAUAAGACUGGGAUAACUUCGGGAAACCGGAGCUAAUACCGGAUAAUAUAUUGAACCGCAUGGUUCAAUAGUGAAAGAUGGUCUUGCUAUCACUUAUAGAUGGAUCCGCGCUGCAUUAGCUAGUUGGUAAGGUAACGGCUUACCAAGGCAACGAUGCAUAGCCGACCUGAGAGGGUGAUCGGCCACACUGGAACUGAGACACGGUCCAGACUCCUACGGGAGGCAGCAGUAGGGAAUCUUCCGCAAUGGGCGAAAGCCUGACGGAGCAACGCCGCGUGAGUGAUGAAGGUCUUCGGAUCGUAAAACUCUGUUAUUAGGGAAGAACAUAUGUGUAAGUAACUGUGCACAUCUUGACGGUACCUAAUCAGAAAGCCACGGCUAACUACGUGCCAGCAGCCGCGGUAAUACGUAGGUGGCAAGCGUUAUCCGGAAUUAUUGGGCGUAAAGCGCGCGUAGGCGGUUUUUUAAGUCUGAUGUGAAAGCCCACGGCUCAACCGUGGAGGGUCAUUGGAAACUGGAAAACUUGAGUGCAGAAGAGGAAAGUGGAAUUCCAUGUGUAGCGGUGAAAUGCGCAGAGAUAUGGAGGAACACCAGUGGCGAAGGCGACUUUCUGGUCUGUAACUGACGCUGAUGUGCGAAAGCGUGGGGAUCAAACAGGAUUAGAUACCCUGGUAGUCCACGCCGUAAACGAUGAGUGCUAAGUGUUAGGGGGUUUCCGCCCCUUAGUGCUGCAGCUAACGCAUUAAGCACUCCGCCUGGGGAGUACGACCGCAAGGUUGAAACUCAAAGGAAUUGACGGGGACCCGCACAAGCGGUGGAGCAUGUGGUUUAAUUCGAAGCAACGCGAAGAACCUUACCAAAUCUUGACAUCCUUUGACAACUCUAGAGAUAGAGCCUUCCCCUUCGGGGGACAAAGUGACAGGUGGUGCAUGGUUGUCGUCAGCUCGUGUCGUGAGAUGUUGGGUUAAGUCCCGCAACGAGCGCAACCCUUAAGCUUAGUUGCCAUCAUUAAGUUGGGCACUCUAAGUUGACUGCCGGUGACAAACCGGAGGAAGGUGGGGAUGACGUCAAAUCAUCAUGCCCCUUAUGAUUUGGGCUACACACGUGCUACAAUGGACAAUACAAAGGG
rnacentral:ncRNA from 2 species